UCUUGCAUUUGGGUGAUGCUUCAAAAUUUUUUCUUAAAGGUCUGUGUCAGAGAUUAGCUCACUUGACUCUCUAUUUUACAAUAAGGAAACUAAAGCUCAGAGAGGCAAAAGCUUGCCCAAUGUAUCACAUUCAGGAAAUGGGACCUCACAGAAGAGUACCCAGGCUUUCUAAUUUCGUAAGCCCUCUCAUCACACAGAGAAGAUGGCAGAUCUACACCACUGAAAGGACAAAAGACAAGAGAAUGCUUGUGCCUCUGCCAGCCUAAUCCCUGGAAAUAAGACUUCUUUACUUCCGAGCGUUUUCCUGGGUCCUGCCUCGCAUCUGACCAGGGCAGGUGGCCUCCUCAUCACACUGCUGCCUCUGCUGUUGGCCCUGCUCAUGAAGCCACUAAACAUAUGGUCUCAGCUCUCUUGUCCUCCAAGAAAGACAACCACCACUGCUGCCUUUCUGAUCUCACGACCAAAGAGAAGAUGCUGUCCACCUCGAUCUAAGGCCCUAGGUCCUCAUUUCUUGCCUCCCAUUGGAGCUCAUCCAAGAUGGUUGACAAUGAGAAGAUAAACUCUCUUCAAGGAAAACUCCACACCUAGCCAAGAAGCUGUGAUUUUGCUUUAGGAACCAUUGAAACUCAUAACCCUAUAACACCAUAACGCAACAGAGUUUUUCUGCCUUAAGUAAUACCUCAUGUGAAUGCAGUCAUUCAGGAUGUUUUGGGGAAAGAAGCCUCCUUGCCUCUCCAAAAAACCACAUAAAGCCAUCGGGGCCAUUUUCCUAGGUGACUGUAGGAGAAAUAUCAAGAUAAAGUGAUGUGCAACCAGCAGGGGAGAAUCCAGGUGAAAGUGGUGAAGAACAUGGGAACCUCUCUCCCAGGUGAAAAGAAUUUCCUGGCCUGGGGAAAGAAGGAAGAGAAAGAGAUCUGUAGGUCCUGGGAGCAGAGAGGACCUCUACGCUCCUUUCGGCAAUGCCCUGAAUAUGAUCAGUAAUAGUAACAACAAUGACAAUAGCAACAGCAAUGAUAAUGAGAGCAGCUGACUGCUACUGAACACUGACUAUGUACCAGGAAUUGUGCUAAGUACUUUAUGUUACAUUACCUCAAUUUUGUCCUCACAACAACUCUGGGAGGUAGGUAAAUAUACAUAUCUCCACUUUACAGAUGAAAAUCUGAAGCUUAGGAAAUGGAAGAACAUCUGCCGGAGGUCACACAGAUAUGGCACGUUCAUGAUGUGAAUCCAAGUGAUGCCGAAGUCAGCCUUCUUAAUCAUUCACAAUUCUGCCCCUCUUCAGUGAGGCCUCCAAGACCAGCUGCCUGGGGAACUCAGGCAGAGAAAGCUAUCUGCAGCCAGGUAAGAGCUUCUCGUUUCUCCUGCAGGUCACAGAGGUGGUUGAAGGCCCCUGGGCCUGAGGAGUCCUGCAGACAGGACAAACAAUAAACAAAGAUCAGAGGGCAAGCUCUCCACUCUUCUUUCCUCCCCAAUUCCAAUGACCCAGGUGAGAGGAUGGCGGAGAAGGAACUAAGAGUUACCAAGGGCAAAUUUUCUACUGGCCUGGAAGAUGUGGACUUGGUAUAAAAUGUAAUUAAGCAUAAUUACAGAAAAUAACAAAUAUAUUUCUUGUGCAUACAAAUUUGUAAAGGGAGAUUUAUACCCAUUACACAGAUUGUCUCUAUUUUCACUGUUUUCACUGCAUUAUAAUUAGAUUAUUUCGUGUAGAUUAUGAACAACUAUAAGUUAGGAAAUUUCUGUUGUUUGACUUUGUCAUCUAUACGUAGCAGAGUGCCAGGCUUAUGCUGAUUGAAUGGAUUAUUGAAAUAAUAAGAUUUGUCUAUUACUCUAUUUUUCCCCCAGCAAAUUCUGUUCACUUAAAAUGUUGAAGUCUUUAUUGUGAAUAUAAAGUCAGUUAACACAAAUAACAUAUCUCAAAUGUCCUUGCUCUUAGAGGUAUAUUUCCCCUGACUU